CCUACGGGUGGCAGCAGUGAGGAAUAUUGGUCAAUGGACGGAAGUCUGAACCAGCCAUGCCGCGUGCAGGAAGACGGCUCUAUGAGUUGUAAACUGCUUUUGUACAAGGGUAAACCUGAAUACGCGUAUUCAGCUGAAAGUACCGUACGAAUAAGGAUCGGCUAACUCCGUGCCAGCAGCCGCGGUAAUACGGAGGAUCCAAGCGUUAUCCGGAUUUAUUGGGUUUAAAGGGUGCGUAGGCGGUUGGAUAAGUUAGAGGUGAAAUGCCGGGGCUCAACUUCGGAACUGCCUCUAAUACUGUUGGGCUAGAGAGUAGAUGCGGUAGGCGGAAUGUAUGGUGUAGCGGUGAAAUGCUUAGAGAUCAUACAGAACACCGAUUGCGAAGGCAGCUUACCAAGCUAUAUCUGACGUUGAGGCACGAAAGCGUGGGGAGCAAACAGGAUUAGAUACCCGGGUAGUC
rnacentral:rRNA from 1 species